rnacentral:miRNA from 1 species
UUAUAUAUAUAUAUAUAUAUAUGUGUGUGUGUGUGUGUGUGUGUGUGUAUAUAUACAUUUAAUUAGCAAAUAAAACACAAGAAUGGAAGA